CUUCGCACUUCUGAUCUGCUCUCUGCAGCCAUUGUCUGUAAAUCAUAAGUGCCCAGAAUAUUCUGUAAGUAAAUUCUUCGAAGAAACUGUUCAUCAUCUCCAGCCUUUAUUUGGAUAACUAACAUUCUCACUAUCCGAAAUUAAACGAACAUGCGGAGGAAAAAAGCUUUCUCUAACAAUUGGUGACCUCGACGUGAUUUCGGACUGAGGUGUUGGUUGACAGACAGAACAUCGGCCGGCCAACAAUUGAUAAGCUCGGAGAGGUUAGGAAUCUGCAUCUUGUAUGAUCCAAUAAACCGCUGAGCUGACUGAUGAAUCUACAGGAACUUGACAGGUCGUUUGGGCCUAAUGGUGAGCCAGCUAUGUGCAAAGCAACUUAACAGAUGUUUCGGGGGGUCUUCUACACGGAGGCAACCAAUCAAUGGAAAGGGGGCCAUCUUCCCCAAAUAUGGACAAAGCAGAUACAAAACUGGGUCAAACAUAGGUAAGGAAGACCUUUUCUGGAUACUCCUUCUUCUUCUUCUUUUUCUUAAGGCUUGUCCAAAUAGGGGUCGCCACAGUGUGUCAUCUUUUUCCAUUUAAGCCUAUCUUGUGCAUCUUCCUCUCUAACAACCACUGUCCUCAUGUCCUCCCUCACAAC